CUACGGGUCGCUCCAGUGGGGAAUAUUGCACAAUGGGGGAAACCCUGAUGCAGCAACGCCGCGUGGAGGAUGACGCAUUUCGGUGUGUAAACUCCUUUUAUAUAGGAAGAUAAUGACGGUACUAUAUGAAUAAGCACCGGCUAACUCCGUGCCAGCAGCCGCGGUAAUACGGAGGGUGCAAGCGUUACUCGGAAUCACUGGGCGUAAAGCGCGCGCAGGCGGCCUUUUAAGUUGGAUGGGAAAGCCUAUGGCUUAACCAUAGAACUGCAUCCAAAACUAUCAGGCUAGAGUCUGGGAGGGGAAGAUGGAAUUAGUUGUGUAGGGGUAAAAUCCGUAGAGAUAACUAGGAAUACUAAAAGCGAAGGCGAUCUUCUGGAACAGUACUGACGCUGAGGCGCGAAAGCGUGGGGAGCAAACAGGAUUAGAUACCCGCGUAGUC
rnacentral:rRNA from 1 species